rnacentral:rRNA from 1 species
UUAUAUGAGAGUUUGAUCCUGGCUCAGGACGAACGCUGGCGGCGUGCCUAAUACAUGCAAGUAGAACGCUGAAGUCUGGUGCUUGCACUAGACGGAUGAGUUGCGAACGGGUGAGUAACGCGUAGGU